rnacentral:rRNA from 1 species
UACGGGGGGGGCAAGCGUUGUUCGGAAUUACUGGGCGUAAAGGGCUCGUAGGCGGCCAACUAAGUCAUACGUGAAAUCCCCCGGCUUAACCGGGGAACUGCGUCUGAUACUGGAUGGCUUGAGUUCGGGAGAGGGAUGCGGAAUUCCAGGUGUAGCGGUGAAAUGCGUAGAUAUCUGGAGGAACACCGGUGGCGAAGGCGGCAUCCUGGACCAACACUGACACUGAGGAGCGAAAGCCAGGGGAGCAAACGGG